rnacentral:tRNA from 1 species
UGAGCUGUAGCUCAGUGGUAGAGCACUUGCCUAGCAUGCAUGAGGCACUGGGUUUGACCCUCAGCACCACAU